CAUCUCAGACACCUGCACUCAGGCCUGUGGUCCUAAUCAUCCUCUAUGUGGACCUGCUGGGUAAAGCCACGAGGAACCCAAGAAUGGGCUCCCACAGGACAUACAGAACAUCCCACAGCACUUGGAUGCCAGUGUGUACUCAUGGCCUGCCCUCCUGGACCUCCUGUCACGUCUCGGGACCUUCUUGGGUCAUUCUUUUCUCAUCCACUGUUCCUGAAUUUCCUGUUCCUCUUUGUUCUCACUCUGCUUCCCAUGUUUGAACUCCUUUCACUAAGCCUGUCCCAUGUUGCUGUUCUUCCUAUGGAACCCUGGCCCUCAACUUACCCAGUGUCUGCUCUUUAUGUUUCCCAAACCACCUGUGCCCCUCAUUUUUCUCUCACCGAGGCCCUCUAGACAUGAAUAUUCCCUCCUCUGUCGGAUCAUGUAUUUCUUGUUUGUUUACUUCAGCUUUGUUUGUUUCUUUGAGACUGAGCCUCACAUAGUCCAGGCUAGAUUCUGAUUUGCUGUAUAGCAGAUGAUGGCCAUGAAAUCUUGAAUCUUCUGCUUCCACCUCCCAAGUGCUGGGAUUACAGGGAUGUGCCACUACCUUGGCCAGAUGGUAUUUUUACAAAACACUAUCAUAAUAACGUCUUCCAUCCAACAUGUACACAGUGUCAAUCUGACUACCCUGUUGAAAGGUGAGUCUGUGUCCCUACUUUCUCCAAGUUCAAUGGGAUUUUAUCUUAGUUUCAAUGGGUAAAAUAAUAACCGAAGCAAUGUGAUGUUUGAGGCCACACUAAAAGCAGUAGAGCGUCUACAUUGCUUAUCUGAAUGCUUGUUCUUGAAGCUGUCCUCUGUCAUUUAGUAAAUUAAGUCAUAUUGAGGCCAAUAUACUAUGAGAAAAAACAAUUGAGCCAAUGCAGAGGUCCAGAGAUUAACAUUGAAGACAUGAAGAUUGAUCCAGGACAUCAUUCCUAUGGUUGUGAUUCUGGUUAAACCUCAUCAGCUGUAAGGAAAACUAAUUCCACAGCCACUCAGAUGAUCCUUCCCAAGUCCCUGACUUAACAUGAACCUUGGAAGGUAACAGUAACUCUAGAACAUUAAAAGUUAUCUUGAUUUGUUGUGUUGCAGCAACAAGUAACUAGAAUAUUCUCCCUCGUCUGCACCAACCAUGCCUCUUCCCCUGUGAUGUAUUACUCAUGGAUCUUGCCAAGUCCUUAAACUCUAGGGGGUGGUUAGAGGUGGGAAAGACCCACCUGCAAGCUUAGUGCUUUAGGGUGAGGUUGUGGGGCGGUUGGACAAAUCCUCCUCACUGAUGGCCAUGGCUUAGGUCUAGCCAAGAUUGGGUUAGGCGUUCCAGUGAGGCAUUCCUGCCCGUCAAUGGCAGUUUGCUCAUCUUUGGCCUGCCUUUUGUUAGGAGGUGCAUAAAAGAAAUAAAGUCUAAUUGAUGAUACUUUUGUUAAAAGGAUGUAUAGACAAGUACCAUUUACACCCAGAAAUGACACCAGGACACCUGUGCUGCUACAUCCUGGAAAAUGACACAGAAGUUCAUUCUUCCUGGUGCCUAUCAUUCAGUUUAGUCCAUCACCCUGUGAGACCUGCACCCAGCCCUGUCUUACUGGCUUUGAAGACAUCACAGAGGUAGUCUGAUGGUGUCAUCUUUGCCAGGAUGCAGAGGGAAUCUGGAUUCUUAACAAGGACUCCGGGCCUCUGUGGACAGAAAUCCAGGCCUUGGCAUGGAGCGUGCGGAGCGCUCCGAGGUGUGGUGUGAAAACAUCUGAAUUCUAACCUUGAAGCAAGUGGUGACAAUCAAAAUGAUGCCCAAAACAGUUUAAUGAUGUUGGACAUCACUGGUUCUUCACAUAUAGGAAGAUGUGUACAAUUCCUAACAGAAGAGAAAAAUCAUACAGUGAUACCCAAUUUGCUGUUUGGGGCUCAGCUCAUCAGAGGAUGGACCUUCCUGCUGCCACACAGACCUUAAAAUUUCAUCUUGAAGUGACCUCUUUCUUCAACUGACCCACAAAACACAGAACACCACAACACCUAGACAUUGAAGAAAUCAUAGUAGAGAAGAGUGAUUGCUUUCUAUGAUUUAAAGAAUUGUUUUUCUGAAGGAGUUUUUUAUCCAUUACGUGACUUUAGUCACAAGACUAUCCAGGCGUGCUUGGGGUAUUGAGUUAUUGGGUACUGCAAACAGUAUACAAUAAGGACUAAAGGUUGUGGGAGUGUGAUGAUUUCCUUCAAGGAACAUAUAGAAUAGAUUAAAGGGGCUUUGGUAUGAGGAACUUGUUGUACCCCAAACACAACCUUUGUGUAUAAUAAAUGAAUAUGCUUCUGAAUGGAAGUUCGAGGUUCAGUUCACAGAAACUGUUCCUCCCUGCUGCCA